GAUGAACGCUAGCGACAGGCUUAACACAUGCAGGUCGAGGGGCAGCACGGUGUAGCGAUACACUGGUGGCGACCGGCGCACGGGUGAGUAACACGUGUACAACCAACCCCGUACCGGGAGAUAACCCGCGGAAACGUGGACUAACAUCCCAUGAUACUCGAGAGCCGCAUGGCUCUAGAUUUAAAAUUCCGGUGGUACGGGACGGGCACGCGCGACAUUAGGUAGUUGGCGGGGUAAGGCCCACCAAGCCGACGAUGUCUAGGGGUUCUGAGAGGAAGGUCCCCCACACUGGAACUGAGACACGGUCCAGACUCCUACGGGAGGCAGCAGUGAGGAAUACUGGUCAAUGGGCGAGAGCCUGAACCAGCCAAGUCGCGUGAGGGACGAAUGGUCUAUGGCCUGUAAACCUCUUUUGUCAAGGAAGAAUAAAUCGCACGGGUGCGAUCUUGCCAGUACUUGACGAAUAAGCAUCGGCUAACUCCGUGCCAGCAGCCGCAGU
rnacentral:rRNA from 1 species